GACGAACGCUGGCGGCGUGCCUAAUACAUGCAAGUAGGACGCAGUUGCGAACGGGUGAGUAACGCGUAGGUAACUACCUAUUAGAGGGGGAUAACUACUGGAAACGAUAGCUAAUACCGCAUACUAGUAGCUGGACCUGCGUUGUAUUAGCUAGUAGGUAGGGUAAUGGCCUACCUAGGCAACGGUAAAUAGCCGACCUAAGCGGGUGUUCGGCCACACUGGGACUGAGGCACGGCCCAAGCUCCUACAGGAGGCAGCGGUAGGAAAUCUUCGGCAAUGGAGGGAACCCUGACCGAGCAACGCCGCGUGAGUGAAGAAGGUUUUCGGAUCGUAAAGCUCGGUUGUUAAGGAAGCGGUACUUAACCAGAAAGGGACGGCUAACUACGUGCCAGCAGCCGCGGUAAUAC
rnacentral:rRNA from 1 species